rnacentral:rRNA from 1 species
CUAACGUUGACCCGUAAUCCGGGUUGCGGACAGUGUCUGGUGGGUAGUUUGACUGGGGCGGUCUCCUCCUAAAGAGUAACGGAGGAGCACGAAGGUUGGCUAAUCCUGGUCGGACAUCAGGAGGUUAGUGCAAUGGCAUAAGCCAGCUUGACUGCGAGCGUGACGGCGCGAGCAGGUGCGAAAGCAGGUCAUAGUGAUCCGGUGGUUCUGAAUGGAAGGGCCAUCGCUCAACGGAUAAAAGGUACUCCGGGGAUAACAGGCUGAUACCGCCCAAGAGUUCAUAUCGACGGCGGUGUUUGGCACCUCGAUGUCGGCUCAUCACAUCCUGGGGCUGAAGUAGGUCCCAAGGGUAUGGCUGUUCGCCAUUUAAAGUGGUACGCGAGCUGGGUUUAGAACGUCGUGAGACAGUUCGGUCCCUA